CCCCACACACACAUUUACAGGCAGUCACACACUCAGUUACAGACACAGUCACACACUCAGUUACAGACAGACAGUCACACACUCAGUUACAGACAGACAGUCACACACUCAGUUACAGGCAGACAGUCACACAUAGUCACAGGCAGACAGUCACACAUACACAUUUCCUCCGUGCAGCCAGUUUAUCAGCUGUUUGCUUGAGUGAGCUGUACUGGCCGCACGGCACCCUAACUUCCAUGGGACACUGUGCGGCCACAGCUCACACAGCCCCCUCCAGCCAGGGCCGGUACAAGGAUUUUUGCCGCCCAAGGCAAAAGUAAAGUUUGCCGCCCCCCAUGUGACAUCACAAUGCC